UUUAAAGUCUAACCUGCCCGAUGAGUAUUUUAAUGGCCGCGGUAUAUUGACCGUGCAAAGGUAGCAUAAUAAUUUGUUUUUUAAUUGGAAGCUGGAAUGAAUGGUUGGACGAGAAAUUUACUGUCUCUGGUUAAUUUUAUUAGAAUUUUAUUUUUAAGUAAAAAAGCUUAAAUUUUUUUAAAAGACGAGAAGACCCUAUAGAGUUUUAUAAGUUAUUUUAUUAAUUUUUGNGGUAUUAUUUAUUUUUUUAUUAUUUUAUUUAUUUUGUUGGGGUGAUGGGAAAAUUUGAUUAACUUUUUUCUUUGUUUUCAUUUAUUUAUGGUUUUUUGGUCCGUUACUUACGAUUAUGAGAUUAAAUUACCUUAGGGANAACAGCGUAAUUUUUUUUUAGAGUUCUUAUUGAGAGAAAAGUUUGCGACCUCGAUGUUGGAUUAAAAUUAAUUCUUGGUGUAGAAGCUUGGAUAUUGGGUCUGUUCGACCUUUGAAAUUUUACA
rnacentral:rRNA from 1 species